GUUCAGGGUCAUCUGGCCAGCAAGGAAGACCAGGAUGGUCUAGCCAACAAGGGAAAUCAAGGUCUUUCUUUCAAGAAGAAAGAAAAAAUGUAGGCAACCCUUUGAAUGCCAAUAUAAUGGAGAUUCAGACUGGCAAAACCAGCAGCAAGAACCCAACUGGAAAUACAAAAUGUCCAUCUGUCUACAAGCCAGUCUGUGGUUCUGAUGGAAAAACCUAUGGGAACCACUGUGUAUUCAAUGAAGCCAAAAGGAUAAGUAAUGGAAAACUGAAUCUGAACCAUGAAGGGAAAUGCUAAGCAUUGACA
rnacentral:lncRNA from 1 species